rnacentral:rRNA from 1 species
AUGGACCAAUCCAUCCCUUUUUCCUGUGCAUAUGCAUCGGACUCCGAUGACGAUGGUCCCGAUGAAGAAGUUAAUGAGGGGUUCACGCCCAAGGAGGCCCAAGCAUUCAAGAAGGUAUUCGGGCGGGAUCAUAAGCCACCAUUGUUCAAGGAUCUUAGUCUCGCGGAUGAAGCCGUUGUGGAUGGUGGAAAAUGCAGAUCUCUUGGAGCUAGGCCAAGUUCUCACCGUGAUUUGGAAGACAACAAGAACGGGAUAUAUCCCGGUUGUGAGUUUCAAUCCUUCUUGGAAUUGAAGAUGUGGCUCGACAACUACUCAGUUAUGCAUUAUCGUCCACAUAAAGUGGCCAACUCAGAUGUCAAAGUGCGUUACACGGUCAAAUGUGAAGUGCCAACAUGUCCAUGGAUUGUGCGUGCAAGACCAUGGAAAGGAGGUCCCACUUGGCGCAUAGUGAGUUGUCUACCAACUCACAUGUGCCGGCACAAGAAUGCGGAUGGCAAGCUUGUGUACGAACAACACAGACAACUCACGUCCGAGUUCAUUGCUUACAGGUUAUCCAACCAAAUAUCCACACUUCCAAUAAUGAGCAUCAAGAGUGUCAUUGACCUUGUGAAAGCCAUCUUUCAUUACAAGGUGAAGUACGGCAAGGCAUGGAAGGCGAAGCAAGCCGCACUCAAGAUGUUGUAUGGCAAUUGGGAGGAAGCAUACAACCGACUCCCUAGGUUGUUGUUAGCUAUGGACGCCACAAACCCAGGCAUGGUUCACGUGGUUUAG